GGGUCUAAUACCGGAUACUGACCGGCCUGGGCAUCCAGGCGGGUCGAAAGCUCCGGCGGUGAAGGAUGAGCCCGCGGCCUAUCAGCUUGUUGGUGAGGUAACGGCUCACCAAGGCGACGACGGGUAGCCGGCCUGAGAGGGCGACCGGCCACACUGGGACUGAGACACGGCCCAGACUCCUACGGGAGGCAGCAGUGGGGAAUAUUGCACAAUGGGCGAAAGCCUGAUGCAGCGACGCCGCGUGAGGGAUGACGGCCUUCGGGUUGUAAACCUCUUUCAGCAGGGAAGAAGCGAAAGUGACGGUACCUGCAGAAGAAGCGCCGGCUAACUACGUGCCAG
rnacentral:rRNA from 1 species